GCCCGUACCGUAAACCGACACAGGUGGGUGGGAUGAGUAUUCUAAGGCGCGUGGAAGAACUCUCUUUAAGGAACUCUGCAAAAUAGCACCGUAUCUUCGGUAUAAGGUGUGCCUAGCUUCGUUAAGAAUUUACUUCGUAAGCGAAGAAGGUUACAACAAAGAGUCCCUCCCGACUGUUUACCAUAAACACAGCACUCUGCUAACUCGUAAGAGGAUGUAUAGGGUGUGACGCCUGCCCGGUGCUCGAAGGUUAAUUGAUGAUGUUAGCUUAUGCAAAGCAUCUGAUCGAAGCCCGAGUAAACGGCGGCCGUAACUAUAACGGUCCUAAGGUAGCGAAAUUCCUUGUCGGUUAAAUACCGACCUGCAUGAAUGGCGUAACGAGAUGGGAGCUGUCUCAAAGAGGGAUCCAGUGAAAUUGUAGUGGAGGUGAAAAUUCCUCCUACCCGCGGCAAGACGGAAAGACCCCGUGGACCUUUACUAUAGCUUGACACUGCUACUUGGAUAAAGAUGCGCAGGAUAGGUGGGAGGCUUUGAGUCGUAGAUCUCGGUUUACGAUGAGCCAUUGUUGAGAUACCACUCUUCUUUAUUCGGGUAGCUAACUAGCCUAAGUUAUCCUUAGGUAGGACAAUGUCUGGUGGGUAGUUUGACUGGGGCGGUCGCCUCCCAAAAUGUAACGGAGGCUUACAAAGGUUGGCUCAAAGCGGUUGGAAAUCGCUUGCAGAGUAUAAAGGCAAAAGCCAGCUUAACUGCGAGACAUACACGUCGAGCAGAGACGAAAGUCGGUCUUAGUGAUCCGGUGGUUCUGUGUGGAAGGGCCAUCGCUCAAAGGAUAAAAGGUACCCCGGGGAUAACAGGCUGAUCUCCCCCAAGAGCUCACAUCGACGGGGAGGUUUGGCACCUCGAUGUCGGCUCAUCGCAUCCUGGGGCUGGAGCAGGUCCCAAGGGUAUGGCUGUUCGCCAUUUAAAGCGGUACGCGAGCUGGGUUCAGAACGUCGUGAGACAGUUCGGUCCCUAUCUGCCGUGGGCGUAAGAAGAUUGAGGAGAGUUGACCCUAGUACGAGAGGACCGGGUUGAACCGACCACUGGUGUACCGGUUGUUCUGCCAAGAGCACCGCCGGGUAGCUAAGUCGGGAUGCGAUAAGAGCUGAAAGCAUCUAAGCUCGAAGCCGACUCCAAGAUGAAUCUUCUUUUAAGAGCUCUAGUAGACUACUAGUUUGAUAGGCCGGAUGUGUAAUGGAUGAAAGUCCUUUAGCUGACCGGUACUAAUAGCUCGUUUGCUUAUCUUU
rnacentral:rRNA from 1 species